rnacentral:rRNA from 1 species
GAUGAACGCUGGCGGCGUGCCUAAUACAUGCAAGUCGAGCGAACAGACGAGGAGCUUGCUCCUCUGACGUUAGCGGCGGACGGGUGAUUAACACGUGGAUAACCUCCCUCUAAGACUGGGAUAACUUCGGGAAACCGGAGCUAAUACCGGAUAAUAUAUUGUACCGCAUGGUUCAAUAGUGAACGACGGUUUUGCUGAUCCUUGUAGAUGGAUCAGCGUCGCUUUAGCUAGUUGGUAAGCUAACGGAUUACUAAUGCAACGAUGCGUAGCCGACCGGAAAGGGUGAUAGGCGACACCGGAGGUGAGACACACUCCAGACACCUACAGGAGGCACAGGUGGGUAAGCUUCCGCACUGGGCGGAAUCUUGACCGAGCAACGCCACGUGAGUGAUGAAGGUCUUCGGAUCGGAAAACUCUGUUAUGGGUGAAGAACAAAUUUGUAAGUAACUAUGCCCGUCUUGACGGUACCUAAACAAAAAGCCACGGCUAACUACGUG